rnacentral:lncRNA from 1 species
AAGCUGAUUAUCUGACAGCCACUGACUGUCACAAACUUAUUGAAGUGAGUGAUGAGCACAACUCCAUCCUUUCUGUAAGAAUCACAUGGCCACAAAAGUGGAUGCUGAUGCUCGGGAUGAAUAGUGAAAAGGUUAUGUGGUUCAAAUCAGUGAUCAAAAGACAAAUAAGGGUCAUGGAGAAAGUCAUCUUGGACCACAGCAGAGUGCACCUGCUGAUGAAUAAAGAAUAUUUUUGUUGUAGACCAGUGAGAAAUGGAGAGAGGAAAGACAAGUCAGUCGGCAGUUGCAUUGUGAAUGUCAAUCUGAGUGCUUUCAGAUCUCAAGUAGGAUAUUGUAAAAAAAAAAAAAUAGAAGGAGAUGGGUAUGAUAUUCUGAGACUGGUAAAUACUAUAGUGUCUCUGUAGUUGAAAUCCAAAAUAGCUAGCAGAACUUGAAAACUUUUCAAAACCUCUAAAGAAAGUACUGUCUGAUAAUAUGUUGUCAGAUAACCCUUAAACAAAGGAGGUAAAAAAAAUCCAGAGUCAAAACACCCAAAAUUCAACAGCUUGUUAUUCCAUGUGUCCUGAAACAUAAAUGCUGACACAGGUCUCUGAAGGAAGAAAAGUACAAGAAAUUACAAGGCUAAGGCUUCACAAUAUGCUAACCUUUUGUCCUAGACAUUGAAAGAAGACAAAGAAAAACACCCAAGAGCCGAUUUCCAAGAGAAAUAGGAUGUCCUUGGCCUAGAGUUUAUACUUCUAGGUCUGAGGCCAGAGAGAAG